AACGAACGCUGGCGGCAUGCCUAACACAUGCAAGUCGAACGAUACCUUCGGGUCUAGUGGCGCACGGGUGCGUACCGCGUGGGAACCUGCCCUUAGGUUCGCAAUCACUCCCCGAAAGGGGUGCUAAUACCGGCUAAUGUCUUCGGACCAAAGAUUUAUCGCCGUUGGAUGGGCCCGCGUUUGAUUAGCUAGUUGGUAGGGUAAAAGCCUAGCAAGGCGACGGUCCAUAGCUGGUCUGAGAGGAAGAUCCGCCACACCUGGGCUGAGAAACGGCCCAGAAUUCUGGGGGAGGGGGGCAUGGGGGAUCCUGGAAAACGGGCGAAAGCCUGAUCCAGCAAUGCCGCGUGAGUGAUGAAGGCCUUAGGGUUGUAAAGCUCUUUUACACGGGAUAAUAAUGACAGUACCGGGAGAAUAAGCUCCGGCUAACUCCGUG
rnacentral:rRNA from 1 species